rnacentral:rRNA from 1 species
AUUGAACGCUGGCGGCAGGCCUAACACAUGCAAGUCGAGCGGAUGAAGGGAGCUUGCUCCUGGAUUCAGCGGCGGACGGGUGAGUAAUGCCUAGGAAUCUGCCUGGUAGUGGGGGAUAACGUCCGGAAACGGGCGCUAAUACCGCAUACGUCCUGAGGGAGAAAGUGGGGGAUCUUCGGACCUCACGCUAUCAGAUGAGCCUAGGUCGGAUUAGCUAGUUGGUGGGGUAAAGGCCUACCAAGGCGACGAUCCGUAACUGGUCUGAGAGGAUGAUCAGUCACACUGGAACUGAGACACGGUCCAGACUCCUACGGGAGGCAGCAGUGGGGAAUAUUGGACAAUGGGCGAAAGCCUGAUCCAGCCAUGCCGCGUGUGUGAAGAAGGUCUUCGGAUCGUAAAGCACCUUAAGUUGGGAGGAAGGGCAGUAAGUUAAUACCUUGCUGUUUUGACGUUACCAACAGAAUAAGCACCGGCUAACUUCGUG